UAGGGAAUAUUAGAAAUGGACGAAAGUCUGAUCUAGCGACACCGCGUGUGCGAUGAAGGCCUUCGGGUUGUAAAGCACUUUUUGGAAGGAAUAGGAAGGAAGGUACUUCCAGAAUAAGUCUCGGCUAACUACGUGCCAGCAGCCGCGGUAACACGUAGGAGGCAAACGUUAUCCGGAUUUACUGGGCGUAAAGCGCGUGUAGGUGGUUCUGUAAGGAGGGCGUGAAAGCUCCCGGCUCAACUGGGGGAGGCCGUUGGAAACUGCAGAACUAGAGGAUGGUAGAGGGAGGUGGAAUUUCAGGUGUAGCGGUGGAAUGCGUAGAUAUCUGAAGGAACACCAGUGGCGAAAGCGGCCUCCUGGACCAUUCCUGACACUCAGACGCGAAAGCUAGGGUAGCAAACG
rnacentral:rRNA from 1 species